GUCAACACAUUUGGUUACAGGAGGUCGCAUAUGGAAUUUAGUAAGAUGACCCAAAUUUUCAGAAGGGAGAAAAGAUGAGCCGGCCAUUCUUCUCUUUCAAAUUCGCCUUCUUCUUCUCCCUUUCUCUUGCCGCUUCCUACACUGUCACUUCAACCCCAACAUUCUACUCCUUCCGUAAGAUCAAACUACGUGCCUCACCGUCCGUACCCAAGGCCUCAGUCGCCGAUUUGCUCGCUCUGUUGGGCCCACCUCAACAAGCCUUAGCUGUUAACUCUCAAGAGGCGCGUCAGCUACGUUCUUGCUUCAAAUUCCUAGUUCCUUUUUCUCCCACUCCGAAUAGACGCUCGUUGAGUGAUCAUCGAAGGAGUAUAAACCAACAGAAUGAGCUUAUUUGGUGGCCGCCGGCGCCGGUAAUGGAGCUUGCUCGGAUCGCUGUUGAUUCUGGUGGUGAUACUGCGUCUGUUCAAAGGACUCUUGAUCCAACAGUCAUCCCUGUUCCUGACAUUGAAGGAUCAAAGGAAGACCGAUGUGAACUUACCAGAACUCCUUAUGGAAGACUGUUUAUUAAUGAGGAGAUAAAUUCAUACCUCGAAUCUUUGUUUGAAAUGAUUGUUGCUCGGGGACCCAGUGUUGGGCUGAAUGUAUCAUUGUCGCGCUUUGAUUUCUUUCAUGGUCAUGUCUUUCUUACCAGAGACUCUGGAAGACUUGGGAUCUUGUUCCAUGCUAAGGAGUAUCCAGCAUAUGAUAAGGAAGUUUUUCCUUGCAACAUGGGCUACUGCCAAAUAGGAACUAAUGUUUCUUAUGACGAUUCAAUGAAUUUGCGUAACAUAUUGUGGCUAGCUCCAUUAGCUAGCAACUCCUCAAAUGAAUGGUUAGCACCAGUUAAUAGCUGCAGAAAUGCAACUAUAGUUUGGAGUUCAAUUACCAAGAUUCUUGAGAAAUUUAUGGGGCUGUUAGUGAACAUUGUUCUGGCAUGUAUCACUGGGAUGAGAGCUUUCUCACAUCAACUCAGAUUUCCUCUUGAUAUUCCCCUUUGAGAAACAAACUCACAGAGUCUUAGUUGUCCUGGAUGCACGUCCAACUGGAGUCAUAUACAAGGACCUCAUACCCGAGUAUGUUCAAAUUGCCAGGACCCUGUAUGAAGAUGAUUUUGGGGACGUUGCUUUUGAUGUUAACUACCUAAACACAGGAGGUGAACCUCCUAAGUUUCAAAUUUUCAUUUGCUGACUUCUUUGGAAAGGUUUGACUGUCAAUUUGCAGUUUCACGAAGUGAGUAUCCAUAUACUCUAUAAAUAUUGCUUUGUCAUUGUCAUGUAAUUUCUCUGGCCGAAUCGAAAUAAAUCUUUGAAUCUAGCGCAUUCAAGUGGAUGGUUGUUUAGUAAAGGAUUUGUUUUACGGAGAUAUUACUAUUGGAAUCGCGAGCCUUUAGUCAUUUAGUUUGUGAGGGGAAAUCCUUAUGACAAAUAUCCUCUCUGGAUUAUACUGUGAAGCUUGGACAAUGAAACAAUGACUGAACUGUGGGAUUGCAGUGUAGGAUUUGUGGGUUCAUAGAAACCCAAUAGCUUUUGUUUAUUCCACGUUUAUAUGAUAAGAAAUCCAUUAAACAUUUAAAUUUUAUUGUAAACUCAGUUAUUAAUUUGAGGUUGCUUAUGAACUUCUAUGUA